rnacentral:rRNA from 1 species
AAAGCUCAAAUUUAAAAUCUGGCAGUCUCUGAUUGUCCGAGUUGUAAUCUAGAGAAGUGUUAUCCGCGUUGGACCGUGUACAAGUCUCCUGGAAUGGAGCGUCAUAGAGGGUGAGAAUCCCGUCUUUGACACGGACUACCAGUGCUUUGUGAUGCGCUCUCAAAGAGUCGAGUUGUUUGGGAAUGCAGCUCAAAAUGGGUGGUAAAUUCCAUCUAAAGCUAAAUAUUGGCGAGAGACCGAUAGCGAA